GGACACCUUGCAGCCCUCCACACCUUCCCCUCCUUCUCCAUCUCCUUGUGGACUUAGGAAACCAAUCAAUAUCCAAAGAGCUGCAGUAUGUUACGCUUGAAAAUUGAAUUCCGUAUAGCCUGUAGAUGACUUCAGGAAGAAAAAGAAAAUCCUUUCUGUCUGAUCGUGAUUGUAUGUUUCAUGCAAGCCAAAUUGUAUUAAAUAUCCACAGUCCAGCAAGUUCUUUGGAUCAGAUUAAUACAAUUUCAGACAGUGUAACUGUGCACUUUACUGUUUUGAUUUCCAAGUGCCCCUUGUUCUCCUCUGAUUUCUUUCUUGCUGAUUUGCCACUAACUGCUUGAAAACUGCAGGCAUCUUUUUAAGCUCAAGAGCAGCGUGGUCUUCAGAUCAAGAAAGAUGAGCUCUCUCUUUGUUUUGGUUCAAUCACUAAAAAGUUUGCCAGGCCUUAAGGAUGACGUACCUUGACAAAGAAUGAGUUUGUUUAAAUUCUGGGGAAAAAAAGACAAUUCAGAAGAGACUGGAGCAGAACAGAGCUCUGAUGAUUUAGUUAAAACCAUUGCAUUCCUGAAUCCAAAAUACCUACUACUACGUGAUACUUUAUUAAGUAUUAUUACACGUGUAUUGACUAAUAGCAUUGAAAGAUUUUUUUUUUUAAAUAAAACAUUUACAAACAAAACUGCCACACAAAAAAAAGGUCCUUUAUUUUGGGAGAAGAAUAUAGGCACCAGUAUGCAAUGAUGACGGCAUUCAAAUAUCUGCCUGUAAGUGAUGUUUCCAAACCACACAAGAAGCCUGAAGUGGAACAGAGCCUUGAACACUUGUCCUCCAACAGGAGAUCCAUCCCUUAUCUCUAACAGAGCCUCUUUCUGCAUGCAAGGCACUGAAGUGCUGACUAUUUCCCUGUCUUUCAGACUCAUCAUGCACAAUAUUACAGGAAAUAACUUCGAAAAAGCAUAAGGCUUUCGGAAGACAUCCCUGCAGAAUAUUUAAGGACAUAAAUGAUAUUAGGCAGCUGAUGCCAUUCUGUUUCAAAUGAGGAACUUAAAAUGAGAACAAGGCAAGUCUGACAUUGUUUAUUAGUUCAUCGUGGUAACACUGCAUAAGGCGAUGAUAGUAGCAGCUCUUUGGGUUUUGGAAACUUAAAUCUGUCUGCUGUCAUUUCUAACUUAAUUAACACUGCAGACUGCUUUGGUGCUUGAAAAUGCAAACAGGGCAGUUCUUGUCCUUGCAUCUGUCUUUGCAAAGUGUACAGUGGCUGGAGGAGCAGCGGCACUGAAACAAGGGCAGGUGCUCAGGCUACAUUUCUCACUGUCUGUUCAGAGACUAAUAUAAGCAAAUUGUGGAAGGAAGUUGUUUCUUUUAGACUCUGUUGUGGUUACAGCUGAACCCAGGACAGACCUUUAGAGUUUUGAUGCAUCAUCACCUUAAUGAAGCAGUCGCACUUUUUAAGGAAAAGUUUGGGACUGACAUUCAGGAAAAGUGAGGAUACCUUCCUACUAAAGUUCUCUGCAAGGAUCUACUGCAUCUCUUCUGGCACACAGGAGGCAAAACCUGAAUAAAAGCUGUAGCACAGUUCUGGGAUCAAUGAGCUCCUGGUGCUGCAGCAGUGCUAUGCCUCGGUAGCCCUCUAGCUGGUCCGUGCUUGCAACUAGCAAUCUGGGAGAAGGAAAGGGGCACAUGGUGAGCUAAGGAAGGUCAGCAGUUUCUAGCCAUUACCAGUUUAUAAGUCAGCUGCCAGCAUGGCACCUAACAAGCCCCAGAAGCUACCCAAAGAGCAAAAGAAGCCAACAAGAUUGCAGGUUGCAUCAUCACUAGUGUUCACCAAGAAGGCACUAUUCAAGAUAGCACGCAAAGGAAAGCAACAAGUCACUGAAAUCUCUGUUUUACUUGUCCUUGCAGUUUUGGGUUGUCAAAUGUGGACAAAGAGGAACCACACAUACUGCAGUUGCAGCAGCAGCGGUUAGUAGCACUCAGCUGCUCCCAGCUAUAGCUGGCGCUGACUUGCUGUAACUCAUCACAGACUCCAUAUGAGCCCCGUGCAGCUCUGCUAGCAUCAUCCUACUCAGACAGAGGCAAAGAAAUAAAGGCUUUCCUUUCUUCAAAUGCAAGGAUCUAGUGUAACAGCCAAAAUAAGCCACCACCUCACUCCCUAGCUUCUUUCCCAUGCAUCUGUCCUCUCCCUGAGAGGCUGGACCACAAAAGGGCCAUCAAGGCUGCAGCGGAUGUAUCCUCCUGGCUUGACACAUGCACCUAUCCCGUGUAGCUGCCUCUGCCUGAUGAACCCAAGGGAGCUGAGGGGCCUGAAGUCAAAGAAAAGUGACACGUUC
ensembl:lncRNA